GAUGAGCCAGAAUUGGCACCUUGUCUUUAAAUAAGGUGCAAAAUGAUUUUAACUGAAGAGUUUGAUCAUGGCUCAGAUUGAACGCUGGCGGCAGGCUUAACACAUGCAAGUCGAGCGGAGAGAGGUAGCUUGCUACUGAUCUUAGCGGCGGACGGGUGAGUAAUGCUUAGGAAUCUGCCUAUUAGUGGGGGACAACAUCUCGAAAGGGAUGCUAAUACCGCAUACGUCCUACGGGAGAAAGCAGGGGAUCUUCGGACCUUGCGCUAAUAGAUGAGCCUAAGUCGGAUUAGCUAGUUGGUGGGGUAAAGGCCUACCAAGGCGACGAUCUGUAGCGGGUCUGAGAGGAUGAUCCGCCACACUGGGACUGAGACACGGCCCAGACUCCUACGGGAGGCAGCAGUGGGGAAUAUUGGACAAUGGGGGGAACCCUGAUCCAGCCAUGCCGCGUGUGUGAAGAAGGCCUUAUGGUUGUAAAGCACUUUAAGCGAGGAGGAGGCUACUUUAGUUAAUACCUAGAGAUAGUGGACGUUACUCGCAGAAUAAGCACCGGCUAACUCUGUGCCAGCAGCCGCGGUAAUACAGAGGGUGCAAGCGUUAAUCGGAUUUACUGGGCGUAAAGCGCGCGUAGGCGGCUAAUUAAGUCAAAUGUGAAAUCCCCGAGCUUAACUUGGGAAUUGCAUUCGAUACUGGUUAGCUAGAGUGUGGGAGAGGAUGGUAGAAUUCCAGGUGUAGCGGUGAAAUGCGUAGAGAUCUGGAGGAAUACCGAUGGCGAAGGCAGCCAUCUGGCCUAACACUGACGCUGAGGUGCGAAAGCAUGGGGAGCAAACAGGAUUAGAUACCCUGGUAGUCCAUGCCGUAAACGAUGUCUACUAGCCGUUGGGGCCUUUGAGGCUUUAGUGGCGCAGCUAACGCGAUAAGUAGACCGCCUGGGGAGUACGGUCGCAAGACUAAAACUCAAAUGAAUUGACGGGGGCCCGCACAAGCGGUGGAGCAUGUGGUUUAAUUCGAUGCAACGCGAAGAACCUUACCUGGCCUUGACAUAGUAAGAACUUUCCAGAGAUGGAUUGGUGCCUUCGGGAACUUACAUACAGGUGCUGCAUGGCUGUCGUCAGCUCGUGUCGUGAGAUGUUGGGUUAAGUCCCGCAACGAGCGCAACCCUUUUCCUUAUUUGCCAGCGAGUAAUGUCGGGAACUUUAAGGAUACUGCCAGUGACAAACUGGAGGAAGGCGGGGACGACGUCAAGUCAUCAUGGCCCUUACGGCCAGGGCUACACACGUGCUACAAUGGUCGGUACAAAGGGUUGCUACACAGCGAUGUGAUGCUAAUCUCAAAAAGCCGAUCGUAGUCCGGAUUGGAGUCUGCAACUCGACUCCAUGAAGUCGGAAUCGCUAGUAAUCGCGGAUCAGAAUGCCGCGGUGAAUACGUUCCCGGGCCUUGUACACACCGCCCGUCACACCAUGGGAGUUUGUUGCACCAGAAGUAGCUAGCCUAACUGCAAAGAGGGCGGUUACCACGGUGUGGCCGAUGACUGGGGUGAAGUCGUAACAAGGUAGCCGUAGGGGAACCUGCGGCUGGAUCACCUCCUUAA
rnacentral:rRNA from 1 species